AUCUAGGAAAGUAGUGAAAGACCCCCGAAGGGAUCCUCCCACUCAAGUCUCGGGAAAGACGCGCACCCAGUAGGACACAGACACCG
rnacentral:pre_miRNA from 14 species